AUUGAACGCUGGCGGCAGGCCUAACACAUGCAAGUCGAGCGGAUGAAGGGAGCUUGCUCCUGGAUUCAGCGGCGGACGGGUGAGUAAUGCCUAGGAAUCUGCCUGGUCGUGGGGGAUAACGUCCGGAAACGGGCGCUAAUACCGCAUACAUCCUGAGGGAGAAAGUGGGGGAUCUUCGGACCUCACGCUAUCAGAUGAGCCUAGGUCGGAUUAGCUAGUUGGUGGGGUAAAGGCCUACCAAGGCGACGAUCCGUAACUGGUCUGAGAGGAUGAUCAGUCACACUGGAACUGAGACACGGUCCAGACUCCUACGGGAGGCAGCAGUAGGGAAUAUUGGACAAUGGGCGGAAGCCUGAUCCAGCCAUGCCGCGUGUGUGAAGAAGGUCUUCGGAUUGUAAAGCACGUUAAGUUGGGAGGAAGGGCAGUAAGUUAAUACCUUGCUGUUUUGACGUUACCAACAGAAUAAGCACCGGCUAACUUCGUG
rnacentral:rRNA from 1 species